rnacentral:misc_RNA from 1 species
CAGUGUCUUGGAGGCCGACCCUCUGGUGCAUCCUCCACGGGAGCAUCGGGGCUCGUGCCCCCUCCACACGUGUUUACUACACUCUGUUGCCUUGGUGGGUCUGCCCUUGUGGCUGCCGGGGUCGCCGCCUGCGUCCCGGGCCCGUACCCGCCAAUGGACAUCCUGAACUCUUUGAAUAUAGUGUUGUCUGAGCGUAUAGCGAAUUAAAC